UGAUUAAUCAAAUUUAAAAUUUGAUUAUUAAAAAAUAUAGUAUAUCAUUUUUAUAAAUUAAUGAAAAUUAAUUAAGUAAUAAUUAUAUUUUAUUAAUAAAAUUUUGUGCCAGCAAUUGCGGUUAAACAAUAAAUAAAUUAAAUAUUAAUUAAAUUUGAAUAAAUAUUUUUUAUAAAAAUAAUAUAAAUUAAUUUUAAUAGUGAAAUUUUAUAAAUUAAUUAUAAUUAUUUGUUAAAAUAUGAUUUUUAUUAAAUUAGAUAAUAAACUAGGAUUAGAUACCCUAUUAUUCUAAAUUAAAUCAUUAAUAAAUUUAAGUAUUUAAAGUUUAAUAUUAUAUAAAACUUAAAAAAAUUGGCAGUAUUUUAAUCAAUUUAGAGGAACUUGUAAAUUAAUUGAUAAUCCACAAAUAAUUUUACUUAAACUUUUUAUUUGUAUAUCGUUGUUAAAAAAAUAUUUUUAAAAAAUUUAAAAUAUUUAAAGUUUUAAUUUAUAAAAUUAAAUCAAAUCAAGGUGCAGUUUAUGUUUGAGAAUUAUAUGAGUUACAUUUUUUAUAAAUAAAUAGAAUUUAAUUUGAAAAUAAAUUAUUAGAAAUUGGAUUUAAAAGUAAUAGUAAUUAAAUUAUUAUUAUGAUUAAUGUUUUAAAAUAUGUACAUAUUGCCCGUCAUUUUCAAAAAAAAGAUUUCUGAAUGAAUUUUUUUUAUAUGAAACAAGUCGUAACAAAGUAGAUUUACUGGAAAGUGAUUCUAGAAG
rnacentral:ncRNA from 1 species